rnacentral:rRNA from 1 species
GACCAUGGCUCAGGAUGAACGCUAGCUACAGGCUUAACACAUGCAAGUCGAGGGGCAGCAUGACCUAGCAAUAGGUUGAUGGCGACCGGCGCACGGGUGAGUAACACGUAUCCAACCUACCGGUUAUUCCGGGAUAGCCUUUCGAAAGAAAGAUUAAUACCGGAUAGUAUAACGAGAAGGCAUCUUCUUGUUAUUAAAGAAUUUCGAUAACCGAUGGGGAUGCGUUCCAUUAGUUUGUUGGCGGGGUAACGGCCCACCAAG